AGCGAACGCUGGCGGCAGGCUUAACACAUGCAAGUCGAGCGGGCACUUCGGUGUCAGCGGCAGACGGGUGAGUAACACGUGGGAACGUACCCUUCGGUUCGGAAUAACGCUGGGAAACUAGCGCUAAUACCGGAUACGCCCUUUUGGGGAAAGGUUUACUGCCGAAGGAUCGGCCCGCGUCUGAUUAGCUAGUUGGUGGGGUAAUGGCCUACCAAGGCGACGAUCAGUAGCUGGUCUGAGAGGAUGAUCAGCCACACUGGGACUGAGACACGGCCCAGACUCCUACGGGAGGCAGCAGUGGGGAAUAUUGGACAAUGGGCGCAAGCCUGAUCCAGCCAUGCCGCGUGAGUGGUGAAGGCCUUAGGGUUGUAAAGCUCUUUUGUCCGGGACGAUAAUGACGGUACCGGAAGAAUAAGCCCCGGCUAACUUCGUG
rnacentral:rRNA from 1 species